rnacentral:tRNA from 2 species
GCUCCCGUGGCGGAACGGAAGACGCACUAGACCGAGGAUCUAGUUUUUUGCAGGUACCUUUUGGGAAGCCGCUACCGCGUCUACAAAUCCUGUCGAGAGUACCA